CUUCUUUGAAACCAAAGUGAAAGUAAGCAGUUCAAAUCAACAACUUGAUAUUUUUUGGAUUCAGAUCUAGUACAGGUGUGCAGUUAUGUUGCAAGAAGGGUGCACGAUUUAUCUACUAGCAUGUCUAUGCAUAUAGCUGUUUGACUUACUUCAUAACAUGGGCACGUAAAACAGACCGUGCGUUGACAGUGGUCAUGAUGAGCAUGAUGUAGCACACGUUUGAAUCCGAUAGGCCACACGCCACACCACAACCAGUGUUAGGACUACAGCCCCAGAAAUAGAGAUGGGGGUGGAUUGUGAAUGUCAUUAUUGAUCCAUCAGCGCAGACGUCCGUAUCUACAUGUAGAUGUCGAUGGUUGAGAUAAGUGGAACCCUAUAGCGAUAGGACUAGUUGACAAGAAGUGUUCUUGUGAACGUUUGGCAACAUAGAUAAUAUAAGCAUUACAGUUUAAUUGUGUUUGAAAACUGAACAUUAUUAUUAAGAUCAUUUAGCUGUCUAUUAAUCAUACUAGUAAUUGUCAAGAAUUUUUGGGCUUUGGAUUUAAGCAGCUAGUUUUUGAUCGAGAGAGAGAGAGUGUUUGAGUGAGGGUGAAAGUGAGUGAGAAUUGUAAAUAUUUUCUAUUAAUUUAUUUUCUUGUUAAUAAAUUCAAUAUUUGAAACUGUCUUGAGUGUUAUUUGGACAUCGCCUGGCUCAACCACGUUACAUGCAGAA